AGUGAACGCUGGCGGUAGGCCUAACACAUGCAAGUCGAACGGCAGCACAGUAAGAGCUUGCUCUUACGGGUGGCGAGUGGCGGACGGGUGGGGAAUACAUCGGAAUCUACUUUUUCGUGGGGGAUAACGUAGGGAAACUUACGCUAAUACCGCAUACGACCUACGGGUGAAAGCAGGGGAUCUUCGGACCUUGCGCGAUUGAAUGAGCCGAUGUCGGAUUAGCUAGUUGGCGGGGUAAAGGCCCACCAAGGCGACGAUCCGUAGCUGGUCUGAGAGGAUGAUCGCCCACAUUGGAACGAGGACACGUCCCAACCCCUAAGGGGGGGCAGCGUUGGGAAAUAUUGGAAAUUGGGCGAAAGCCUGACCAGGCCAACCCGCGGGGGUGAGGAGGGCCUCCGGGUUGUAAGGCCCUUUGUUUGGAAAGAAAAACAACAGGUUAAUAACCCGCUGUUCUGACGGUACCCAAAGAAUAAGCACCGGCUAACUUCGUG
rnacentral:rRNA from 1 species